GUUUUCAGAAAAGUAAAUCAUUAUCCUUGAAAUGAAGUUUUAUAAUUUUAGUUAUUUUAAAGUCAAAUUUCGAUGAAUAAAGUUCAAAAUUUUUAAAUUACAGUAAAAAACCUUAAAUAAAUUUCAAACAAAAAUCCUCAAUAAUCUAGAAAUGUGUGAUCCAAGGUAUUCGUUAUGCGGUUUUAAGGGUACAUGCGGUCCAUAUGGACCCUAUGGAACUUGUGGAACUUAUGGCACUGUAUCAUGUGGACCAUAUCCGCCAUGUACACCAAAUCAACCAUAUGCAUGUGGUCCCUGCGGUCUACCAAUAGCUUCUGGACCUCGAAUGCCAAACGGAUCAGGUAAGCCGUGUGGAGCCCUUUAUAGCUGUGGGCCAUGUGCUCCAUAUGGACCAGAUGGUCCAUGUGCUCCUUGUAGUCCGUGUGGACCAUUCGAACCAUUGGCACCAAAUCAGACUUACUGCACUUAUGGACCGUGUUCAGGACCUCAAUAUAGAACGUGUUGAAAAAAAAAAAUUCAAUAAAUGGCUGCUUGAGAUAUGUAUAUAUACAUACAUCAAUCAGUCACUUAAAGGAAUUAAUAAAAAUGAAAUGUUUUUGAAA